GGGCGCUAGAAUUUUCCCGCUGGCAUAACCUGCGCACUCUCUACGGCUUUAGCGUCACCGUUUUUGUAGCAGGCAGUGUUACAGUAACAGCUAGGUUAUUUAGCCUUGGGCACGUGGAUGUCAUGUGAUGAGGCGAAUGUAUGGAUCACAGUCAAAGAGAUGUAGCUGUAUAAUGCCAAGUUGGGUUGGGUGUUUUGAGAUUGAUGGAUAUUAUUAAAA
rnacentral:misc_RNA from 1 species